rnacentral:lncRNA from 1 species
GGGUACAUUUGAUUUUCUAUAUAAGGAGAUCACUUUUCAUUAUUAUUUUUAACCUUUCUCCAGGUUUGAAGAUGUAGGAGCGUCAAUGUUUGUAUCUAAAUAGAUUUGAAAGUGAUUACUGCAAAGCCAAGCAGCUGAAACCACCUCAGUACUGACACAGCCCAUCAUUACACCCUUCCAGCAUGGGGGGCUCAGCUUUCAAAGGACUGCUGGGAUUUAGCCCCAGUUUCCAUUAACACCAGUGACCCACCCAGCACCACUUUGGGAGUUACCUGGGGCAGUUUUCUUCUCUGGCUACACAGGGGUUUUACCCCCAGCUCCCCUCAAGGUGUUAAAUUAUUUCUGGCAUUGAUGUUCCAUGGAGUGCAAUGUUACAACAUUAUGGUAUUCAAAAGAGCAUCUACAUUUGAUAAUCCUGCUAAUCAUCAAAAGACACUGGAUCUGAAUCCCGAAGGCAAUGUUACAUUUUGA